rnacentral:rRNA from 1 species
CACGUAGGGGGCGAGCGUUGUCCGGAAUUACUGGGCGUAAAGGGCGCGCAGGCUGUUAUGCGAGUCUGCUGUGAAAUGUACCGGCUCAACCGGUGCCUUGCGGCGGAUACUGCAUAGCUGGAGUACUGGAGAGGGAAGUGGAAUUCCAUGUGUAGCGGUGAAAUGCGUAGAGAUAUGGAGGAACACCAGUGGCGAAGGCGGCUUCCUGGUCUGUAACUGACACUGAGGCGCGAAAGCGUGGGGAGCAAACAGGAUUA